UUAUGGUUUAAUUUCAUUAAGUGAUGUAACUUGAGACACAAACAGAGCUGAAGUGGACUCUCGCUGUUACCAAGCCGACCAGAGGGUUCCCAACCUGCCUUGAGUUACACUAAUUAGCUCACCUUCCGCGGAUCAAGCGCAGCGUGGUUUUCUUCAUUGGUUAAUUGCAGUCUGGUCGAGUUCGGUUCAGAGGGAACCGGACAGCGCGCUGGUGGCCGCCCAAGUCUGGCAACGUAAUGUUGUGUUCAUGAAACCAAAACGGAGAAAAAAACGGAGCGUUUCACCUGAACCUGAAGUGUAUCGUGGAGGUUAAACUGCGGUUCUGUGAGUAUCCGAAUUCAACCAUGAAGAAGAGACUGCGAACUGUAAGUCAUUAGUCUCAUUAUUCUCGGGCACGUUGGUGUAUCUGGUCUUCCUGGCUGAGUUAACCCGUUAGGUGAAGGUUGGUCUGAGUAGUCAGGAUGUUUCUUUGGAGCUACUAAAGUGUUAUGCAUCUAUGUCACAGGAGUGUUGCUUUACUGGUGAGGGUGUGGCCUGAGUGGGCAGAGGUGCAUGCUUGGAUACAGCGUUGUCUGAUGUCUACAGGUCUGUAGACACGCCCCCUCAGGAGAACCGAGUGUUUCUGAAUCUGUAGUGACGUCAGUUGCACGGACUAGCGUGUCCUUUAAGACGGGGACAGGGAUUCAGAAGGAGAGACUCCAGGGGGAGAAGUGAGGGCUCUUCGCCUCAACGACUAGAACUCUACUUCGGUCUGUCACCAGAGAGCCAUAGAGCACACUCCAACGUUGUCCUCCGUGCAUCAUGACGCCUCAGCCACAAUUUCUCCACCUCCUCAGCUAGAGGAGAGCACAGCUCCAGUUCAGAAAAGGUCUUUGUUGGGGCCCUUCCAAGAUGGUUUCUGAUCUGAGGGGAGCCAUCUCCCAGGUUCAGCUGGCUCCGCCCAUCACUGUGCAGUUCAGCCUGAGAGGCUUCCAUCUCGGGGGUUGGAGUGAACAAAACACCGUCCACAGAGAGCCUCCACCUGGUCCAGCAGAGUCCUCAGCCUGCUGACGAUGGAGCAUCCUGCUCCUCAAGAGCUAUGGCCCACCACUGGGUCGUCUCCUGAAUAGAUGACCUUCUCCUCCUCUCUCCUAGAGUCCUGUCCUGAAGCUCAAUAAAGCUGCACUGUUUCCAUCUGUCAAGGCUCCUCAUUCAGGAAACAAAGACGCCACACAUUAAAUCACCCGGACACCUUUUGGAGACCCCUGCAAAAUCCAUGACCAAUGUGGGCCUGGGUUCCACCUGGCCUGGGGUUCUGUGUGUGUGUGUGUGUGUGUGUGUGUGUGUGUGUGUGUGUGUGCUGGCAUGGGGUUCUAUAUGCAGUGUUUCCCCUAUGAUUGUACAGGCCAAAACAUAAAAAAAACAAUAUCAAUAAUUGCGUUAUAUUGAUGCGCGACCCAUCGCUAACCGUCCCUUCAAUCACCGGAUUGAGAGCGCAUUUAUCUCAAACCCCAAAACUUAAACUAACGAGAGCGAGUCUCGCCGUCCUCUCCUCGGCUGCCUUGGAAACAAACUCAUCGCCCUGAAAUAUUAAGUCCACACGUUAAACGUGAAUAGCCGCGCUGCGACUAUGCCGAUGAAGUCUCCACUUUACAGGGCAGUGGUGACGAGCUGAUGCUCCAAC
ensembl:lncRNA